rnacentral:tmRNA from 1 species
GGGGGCGAACCGGUUUCGACGGGUCAGAAGAAGCAAUGGUGGCACGCCCAGGAUCCAAGUCCCCUGGUUAAACCGGCUUGGAAACACCAAACGCCAAUUUUGAAAUGGCGAUGGCCGCAUAAGCUUGAGCUAACGCUCGCUUAGUGCACCUCCGGAUGCAGGGCCUGCCUAGGGCGCUGUAGCCGGAUCGAUAAACUAGGCUGGUCAGACGAGGCUCCCUCGACACGUUUGACGAGAUCUACUGCGGGGUAACGCUUGAAGCGGCUGACCCUCGCCGAUUCUUGGGUGAGCACAAAAGAGGAGUCUAUGCGUGUAGAUGCUGUUGUGGGUGCUGUAUCCGGACGCGGGGUUCGAAUCCCCGCCGCCUCCAUCA